UAUGUGAUCGUCUCUCGCAUAUCAAUAAGCGGAGGAAAAGAAAACUAACAAGGAUUCCCCUAGUAACGGCGAGUGAAGCGGGAAGAGCUCAAAUUUGAAAUCUUAAAGGGUUUUCCCUUUACGAAUUGUAGUUUAAAGAAGUGUUUUUCUGUUGAGGUUUUUGGUAAAAGUUCUUUGGAAUAGGACAUCAUAGAGGGUGAGAAUCCCGUAUUUGACCUUUACUUUCAACUUUGUGAUACACUUUCAAAGAGUCGGAUUGUUUGGGAAUGCAGUCCAAAAUGGGUGGUAAAUUUCAUCUAAAGCUAAAUAUUGGCGAGAGGACCGAUAGCGAACAAGUACCGUGAGGGAAAGAUGAAAAGAACUUUGAAAAGAGAGUUAAACAGUACGUGAAAUUGUCAAAAGGGAAGCGUUUGACACCAGUGUUGUUUUUUCUGAAAAUCAAUUAAAGAAACUGUUUUAUGCUAAGCUGUUUAGACUUUAUCAGGCUAACUGUUUCAGUUUUUGAGCUUUUCUUUAAUGCACUUUUCAGUUAACAAGUCAACAUCAAUUUCUUUUGCUGUAAAAAAAGCUUGAGGAAGGGUGGCUUGAGAUUCGUCCUUAAGUGUUUUAUAGCCUCUUGCCUAUGCAGUCGGAGAGAUUGAGGUCUGCAGCGUAGAUCCUUCGGGGCUAAAUGCAUUUGUGCUAAGUUAUAGCAUUUUAUAGACAACUUGUUGACUAUGAUUUGUCUUGUAGCCUUACUCGCUUAUGUUAUUUUACCUACGCUUAGGAUGUUGAGUAGCGACAUACGCAC
rnacentral:rRNA from 1 species